UAUGCAAUUUAAGCAUAAAUGUUCAGACGAUUUGGGAAAAUAAUAUUAAAAUAAUUAAUUUAUAAUUAUUUGAAAUGUUAUAUUUUAAAUAAUUAAAAAAAAAUAAGUUAGUUGUUUUAGUCGCUUAUCACCUUAGCAUGCAUUUAUUGUUUAUUUAUUUAUAAAUAUAAUAAAUGUUUAUAUUAUUUUACAUUUAAUAUAUAUUUAUUAUUAUUUAUAAAUGAAUAAAUAAGACGGCAAUAUUUAUUACCAUGAUAAUUAAAUGCAUUGAGUCAUAAAAGCGAA